UUAUUAUUAUUAUAUGUAAUUCAAAAAUGCUCAUUAUAUAAAAGUAAAUUCUUCCCGAUUUUUCGGAAUUAAUUAAUUUUUUUUUUUCAAUUAAAUAAAUUGUAUGGACGAACGAAAAUGCUUGACAGUUUAACACGAAUUUCAGAGCAUACGUUUUAAUUUGUCGUAAAAAAAAAAAACAUAGUUGCAUAGUCGUAGUUAAACCGAAUUUCGCUUAAAAUCAUAGCUUACAAAAUAUUUUAAAUUUUAUAUUUUAUAAAUUACCUAAUUCAAAGUAUUCUACCUUUUCAACUACCCACCUAUAUAAUUGUGGCCCAACCGUCGGCGAUAUUAGCUCUUUCUUUUUCCAUCUAUUGUUGUUUUUUUAUAUCGGUCAUAAAGCCUAUAGUAAAAUAUUAGGUUGGGUUU